AGUGAACGCUGGCGGUAGGCCUAACACAUGCAAGUCGAACGGCAGCACAGUAAGAGCUUGCUCUUACGGGUGGCGAGUGGCGGACGGGUGAGGAAUACAUCGGAAUCUACUUUUUCGUGGGGGAUAACGUAGGGAAACUUACGCUAAUACCGCAUACGACCUACGGGUGAAAGCAGGGGAUCUUCGGACCUUGCGCGAUUGAAUGAGCCGAUGUCGGAUUAGCUAGUUGGCGGGGUAAAGGCCCACCAAGGCGACGAUCCGUAGCUGGUCUGAGAGGAUGAUCAGCCACACUGGAACUGAGACACGGUCCAGACUCCUACGGGAGGCAGCAGUGGGGAAUAUUGGACAAUGGGCGCAAGCCUGAUCCAGCCAUACCGCGUGGGUGAAGAAGGCCUUCGGGUUGUAAAGCCCUUUUGUUGGGAAAGAAAAGAAGCAGGUUAAUACCCCGCUGUUCUGACGGUACCCAAAGAAUAAGCACCGGCUAACUUCGG
rnacentral:rRNA from 1 species